rnacentral:rRNA from 1 species
UACGUAGGGUGCAAGCGUUUAAUCGGAAUUACUGGGCGUAAAGCGUGCGCAGGCGGCUUUGCAAGACAGAUGUGAAAUCCCCGGGCUCAACCUGGGAACUGCAUUUGUGACUGCAUGGCUGGAGUGCGGCAGAGGGGGAUGGAAUUCCGCGUGUAGCAGUGAAAUGCGUAGAUAUGCGGAGGAACACCGAUGGCGAAGGCAAUCCCCUGGGCCUGCACUGACGUCAUGCACGAAAGCGUGGGGAGCAAACAGG